CCUACGGGGGGCAGCAGUGGGGAAUAUUGCACAAUGGGCGCAAGCCUGAUGCAGCCAUGCCGCGUGUGUGAAGAAGGCCUUCGGGUUGUAAAGCACUUUCAGCGGGGAGGAAGGCGUUAAGGUUAAUAACCUUGUCGAUUGACGUUACCCGCAGAAGGAGCACCGGCUAACUCCGUGCCAGCAGCCGCGGUAAUACGGAGGGUGCAAGCGUUAAUCGGAAUUACUGGGCGUAAAGCGCACGCAGGCGGUCUGUCAAGUCGGAUGUGAAAUCCCCGGGCUCAACCUGGGAACUGCAUUCGAAACUGGCAGGCUAGAGUCUUGUAGAGGGGGGUAGAAUUCCAGGUGUAGCGGUGAAAUGCGUAGAGAUCUGGAGGAAUACCGGUGGCGAAGGCGGCCCCCUGGACAAAGACUGACGCUCAGGUGCGAAAGCGUGGGGAGCAAACAGGAUUAGAUACCCGGGUAGUC
rnacentral:rRNA from 1 species